GUCGAUGGAUCGGCGGUAGCGGGGCGGCCUGGAGGGCCGCUCCGCGUCGAGGGUUCAAAUCCCUCCUCCGGCU
rnacentral:tRNA from 1 species